rnacentral:lncRNA from 1 species
CAAAGACCAAAGAUAUUGAAUAUGUACUAUGUAAUAAUAAGCGUAUCUGUUCAUCUUCUUGUUAACACAAAUAUGCAAUUGCGUAAUCAUGUAGAUUUUUAGUAUUGGUAUAAUUUAGUACAUAUUGUAAGCUUUUCUCCAGUCUAAUGGUAAACUAUUUUGUUGAGCAACUUCUGUCUCUGUCGGGGUGAAUUCUAUAAUUGAUUUCUUAGAAGAACCAUAGUAUUAGAGAGGGCGAGAGAUUACUUCUCAGGAACUUGGGCUUAUGAUCUCGUAAGUGGAAUUGUUGUAAGCAGAACGAGUUUCGAUUUCUGCAAAGAAGCUUCUUGCUCUGAUAGCACCUUUUGGGUAAAACGCGGGAAGGGUAGAUUUGGAAAGUCCAAUUGUAUUUUCACCUAAACACGCAGACAACACCCCCUCAUUGAUUUCAAAGCAUGCCAGUUCAAGAUUUCUGUUCAGUUUCCCGAAGUAUGUUCUUGAUUGUAAUAGUAUAGACUAUGUUUGGCUAUUAUUCUCCAGAUUCUCAUUGUCGAAUUAAUCGUCAGUUCUCUAAAAGAGUUUAGGUAUCGACUAACUGCUGAAGUAGAUGACCCCAAAUUUAUGUCAGAAUUGCAAUGGUAUUUGAUGCUUGCCAUGUGUACGAGUAUAUAAUCUGAUUUUCGUUUUUCCACUUGCACUAUUUUUCUCAUU